GUUCUGGGCCAAAUCUGGCCACAGCCCAUGUCGCAAUGUUCUUCCGUUUCAAUUAAUAAAACAGAAGGGUUUAAGGAAAGAAACUAGGGUUUAGUCUCUGCAGCACAGCUUACGAAUUUCUGAGUCCCACCAAACAACAAUGAGAUUGAGAUCUUCACCAAUCCGUCUAUUUCUUAUCCACUCUUUCAAGUACCCGAGGCCUCUAUGCUCUCAACCAGAAUGUCUCAAUCAAUCGAUUUCGUCAAAUUAUCAAUUUUCCGAGAAUUCUGAACAUUUUCCCGAGAAAAUCACCUCAGAAUUCCAUUCUCUCCGAAACCCAACUUUCUCAUAUUCCAAGCGCAAUUAUUUUAGCUUACCCACUUUAGAGACCACUGAGUUAACAGAAACCACUAUGAUAAGCAAUCUUUUAAGCCACAAAAACGAUCCACUUUCAGCUUUGAGAUACUUUAAUCAGGUUGAACUGAAGCUGGAUUUUGCCAAAAGCCUUAACUUAUUCGCAGUUUUGCUUCACAUUCUGAUGAAAAGCACAGAGACUCAUGGGCACGCUCGCAAUUCGCUCAGUCAAUACGUUUUGGGUAUUUCCAGUCCAACAUCCAUCUCUCUUGUUGACUGCUUGAUUGAGUGUGCGAAAAGGUUUGAUUUUGAUAUUGAUGCGAAAGUUUUCAAUUACUUGUUGGAUAGUUAUGUUAAAGCUGAUAAAACAAUAGAUGCUUUAGAGUGUUGUUCUAGAAUGAUAGAGUGUAAUAUAAUUCCUCAGGUUGAAUUGGUGAACAAAAUUUUGACAGAAUUGGUUAAAACAAACUUUAUUGAUGAAGCAAAAGAAUUGUACAAUAAGAUGGUUUUGAGAGGUGUCAGUGGUCAACGAGUAAAAGUUAGCACUUGUUUAAAAGAAGAAAAGCAUGAGCAAAACCCUUGUUUAGAUAAUACUUCAAGUCAACAUCAAGACCAUAGUAAUUUUAGCACCAAGAACUGCAACUCUAUAGAUUUUCUGCAAAUACCAAAUGGGGUUUAUGUGGAUGGUUCUAGGAGUUAUAGGGAAAGCACUACAAAUGAAUGUCAGAAUAAUAUGUUUCAACAAACUGGUAAGUUUAGUGGGUACAUUUGGAAUAAUAAUGGACACUCUCAAAUAAACCAUAAUGGGGCUCAAGCACAAAUGUCCUGGGGUGGACGUUAUAAUAUGCAGAAUCAGUGUAGUCCCAUCUUGGAGGGAGGCGGAGAAGUGAGCCAAAAGCUUCAGGGUUAUUCACAAAGGUUGUCAGAAUUUCAGGGAAGCUCAAAUGGGACUUUUAUGCAGCAGGUUGGGCAAUAUGAGCAAAUUUCAAGUGACCAUCAUACUGGAAAUGUUGGAAAUUAUUGUCAUAGCCCAAGUGUCUAUCAGCAGAACCAAGAUGUUGGACAAUAUCAGCAGAAUCCUAAGGUAGGACAAUAUUUGUCUUACUCAAAUGGGAUUCACAAUAGAAUGGUGACUUCUCAAGUGGAAACUAACAUGCAAUCUGGGGAGGAAUCAGUUGAGGCCUCAGAAAGUAGCCAAUAUAAUGGUACCCUAAAGGAGUUGGAUGGUUUCAUUAAGGAAGGAAAAGUAAAAGAAGCUGUUGAAGUGUUAGGGUUAUUAGGAAAGCAAUGUAUUCCAGUUGAUUUGCCACUAUUGGUACAGUUAAUGCAGGUGUGUGGGGAAGCCAAAGUUUUAGAAGAAGCAAAAGCAGUGCACGAAUACAUUGUAAGAUCAGUUACCCCUCUUAAAGUCAGCACCUAUAAUAGGAUAUUAAAAAUGUAUUCAGAAUGUGGCUCUAUGGAAGAUGCAUUUAAUGUAUUUAAUCAUAUGGGGCCACGCAAUUUGACUUCAUGGGACACUAUGAUAACAGGCCUUGCAAAAAAUGGUCUAGCGGAGGAUGCUAUUGAUCUCUUCUCUCAAUUCAAGCAAGAAGGACUGAAACCAGAUGGUCAAAUGUUCAUUGGGAUUUUCUCUGCCUGUAGUGUUUUGGGUUAUGCUGAUGAGGGAAUGUUACACUUUGAAUCAAUGAUCAAGGACUAUGGUAUUAUUCCAUCUAUGAAGCAUUAUGUGAGUAUAGUUGACAUGUUGGGAAGCAUAGGGUAUCUAUAUGAAGCCCAAGAGUUUGUUGGAAAAAUGCCAAUGGAGCCAUGUGUUGAUGUUUGGGAGACAUUGAUGAAUCUUUGCAGAAUUCAUGGGAAUUUGGAGCUUGGUGACCAAUACGCAGAGCUUGUUGAACUAUUGGAUCCCUCUCGUUUGGAUGAAAAGUCAAAGGCAGGCCUUGUACCUGUUAAAGGUUCGGAUCAUGUAAAUGAGAAAACAAAGAGGAAAUUGGCCAGUCAAAAUGUUCCAGAAGUUAGGAGCACAGUCCAUGAAUAUCGAGCAGGAGAUACAUCUCAUGCAGAGACUGAUAAGAUAUAUGCUCUUAUCAGAGGAUUGAAGUCUCAAAUGAAAGAGGUUGGUUACAUUCCAGAAGUAAGAUUUGUGCUUCAUGACAUUGAUGAAGAAAGUAAGGAGGAAGCUCUUCUUGCUCAUAGUGAAAGACUUGCUCUAUCACAUGGUCUCCUCACCAGCCAAGCCCGUGCACCCAUUCGGAUAAUAAAGAACCUUAGGGUUUGUGUUGAUUGCCAUACUGCUCUGAAAAUCAUCUCAAAAAUUGUUGGUAGGGAACUCAUUAUACGAGAUGCUAAGAGAUUCCACCAUUUUAAAGAUGGAUUGUGCUCCUGUCGGGAUUAUUGGUGACAAGAUUUUAAUCCGAGUCAAAGAAGGUGAAAAUGAUAUCACUGAAGGAGCAAUGCCUCAUAUAUUUUACCCCAGGGAGCUAUGCAUUUCUGGGAAACGGUUUAUGCGUAGCAGUGGUUGCACGCUUACUCCGGUAUCCGUUUGCUCUGCCUUCAUGAUAUUCAUUUAAAGACUGUUUGAAAAUUGCCAGAUGUUUCCAUGUGAAGUGGUACACAAGUUACCAAUUUUUGUGGGGUUGAGGAGUUCAAAUAACUAGCUUAUACACGUCUUAACUUUGCUAGCCCUGAUAGCUUAGCCAUAGAUAGUCCUUUAUAGUUUAGCUUGGCCGUGAAUGGCUUGGAUUUAGCUGUUAUAAAGAGCAGGAAGUUGUAUUUUCAACAAGCAGUUCAUUUGUAUCAAAUUUGUCUUAGAAACGGCACAGAAAGUUCAGUUGGGCGUUGUAAUAUCAUAAUUUAUUACAAGUCCAUCAUAAGUGCUAAUUAAUACCAUUUUAUUCUUUUACCAUUUGAGAGAGAAUUUGUAAGUUGUAAGCAAUUUAUACUCAAAAUAAUUGACUUGGCUUCCUAUC